GUAGGGUACUAUAUAAAGAUUAUCGGCUCAGAAUCGUCGGACCGAUUCGUGAACAAUUUCGGCCUGAUUUCGUUUCGUUUUUAGUAGCCUGCAUCUUCAUUAGAGCAUUAAUUAGGCAUCUUUUCAUUAAAGAGACACUGUGGAUUAUUACAGGAACAACCACCUGUUGCCAUGUGGCACUAGUAGGCUACCUGCAGUCAAAAAAAGAAUAAAACGCAUCGCCACACCAACAACAAACAAAACUUGAUUGACGCAUCUAUAGACCACUGAGGUGUCUGCUAAUAGAAGUGCAAACCAAUAGAAGUGAAGAGGGGGCGGGUUCUAAUGUGUUUCUCGAAUUAACUUCGUAACGUAAUAUUAUUAGCUUACUAUUUUAGUCGACAGCGAAACACUGUUUGGAGGUAUAUAGCUCAGCGUCCGCUACAAAUAUCAAGGAUUUGUCAAGAAUUUCAGGCUCGGUGGAAAUGCAUUUAUUUUACGCGUCAGUAGUUUUGUGCGUCCUCUGUGCAUGUCACAUGACCACAUCCACCUGUGACGAGCUCCUGUCUUCAGAAGAUGCUGAGUUCUGCAAGGGGAAAUUAAAGGUGAUUUACCCUGAUCUGGUUGUUGACAAAUGCAUGAUCGUCCCUCAGAGGAUCAGAGAGAAGAUCAGUAAGGAGUGGGGUCCACCUCAAAUACAGCUGCCAAGUGCAGAUGAGGACUUGGAACACCAUUUGGACAUUUCGUCUGUGAAAAGAACACAAGUGGGCAUAAGUCAACGUACUUCCAUGUGCAUUUGCCUGAUCCGGCUGGGUGUUUUCUUUUUCUUUUCUUUAUUUAUUUUUGUAUUGUCUUCUAAAGCGUUCGCCAACUGUUGCUCCAUUUUUUUUUCUUUUGUUCAUAUUUAUCAUGCAUGAGGAAAAAAUAUAUACAUUUACACUGGAUUUUAGCUGUGAUUAUAUUCACAAUAGCACACAGCUUCCCUUCUAUAAAAUCCAUACUGCAUGGUGCAUUUUGUUUUUGCACUUGGAAUGCUGUAUUGACCAAUCAGAAGUCAGGAAUGCAAUUGUUAAUUUGUAUGAAUUUUUCAUUCAAAUAAUUUUCUAGCAUGUUCAUAUAUUUAGACUCUGAUCAUAUUUUGAUAAACACAUUUGUGGUUUAACUGCAGGUCAUGGUUAAGCUGUUAGAUCCAGUGUCAUUUCACAUGGUAGAGAUGGUGUUAACCUUUUCUAUUCAUUCAGGGAAUCUUUAGUGACAGUAAUAAUAUGUUCGUGAGGGCUCAGCCCUUUGUGCUGACAGCUAAAAGGCCAGAGUCAAUCUCAGUAAGCGUUCCAGUGUCUGCUUCGCUCAAACUGUUGCUUCAACUGUCUGUCGCCUAACCGACUACUUUAAUAUGUUGUUGCACUUUAGCUGUGUGUGUGUGUCUGUGUGUGUUUGGAGGACUUGGCUAAGUUGCAGAAUACGCAUACUUCUCCAUAGAUUAGCAUAUUUAGAAAAUACAGUACAUGAUGUUUGUGAAUCACUGUUCGACUGUAAUCUUAAUGACUGCAUCUUGGAACUUAAUAAAGGAUUCCUGACACUCA
ensembl:lncRNA